GACGAACGCUGGCGGCGUGCCUAAUACAUGCAAGUAGAACGCUGAAGGAGGAGCUUGCUUCUCCGGAUGAGUUGCGAACGGGUGAGUAACGCGUAGGUAACCUGCCUGGUAGCGGGGGAUAACUAUUGGAAACGAUAGCUAAUACCGCAUAACAGUAGAUAUUGCAUGAUAUCUGCUUGAAAGGUGCAAUUGCAUCACUACCAGAUGGACCUGCGUUGUAUUAGCUAGUUGGUGGGGUAGCGGCUCACCAAGGCGACGAUACAUAGCCGACCUGAGAGGGUGAUCGGCCACACUGGGACUGAGACACGGCCCAGACUCCUACGGGAGGCAGCAGUAGGGAAUCUUCGGCAAUGGACGGAAGUCUGACCGAGCAACGCCGCGUGAGUGAAGAAGGUUUUCGGAUCGUAAAGCUCUGUUGUAAGAGAAGAACGAGUGUGAGAGUGGAAAGUUCACACUGUGACGGUAUCUUACCAGAAAGGGACGGCUAACUACGUGCCAGCAGCCGCGGUAAUACGUAGGUCCCGAGCGUUGUCCGGAUUUAUUGGGCGUAAAGCGAGCGCAGGCGGUUAGAUAAGUCUGAAGUUAAAGGCUGUGGCUUAACCAUAGUACGCUUUGGAAACUGUUUAACUUGAGUGCAAGAGGGGAGAGUGGAAUUCCAUGUGUAGCGGUGAAAUGCGUAGAUAUAUGGAGGAACACCGGUGGCGAAAGCGGCUCUCUGGCUUGUAACUGACGCUGAGGCUCGAAAGCGUGGGGAGCAAACAGG
rnacentral:rRNA from 1 species